rnacentral:rRNA from 1 species
UACGAAGGACCCGAGCGUUAUCCGGAUUUAUUGGGUUUAAAGGGUGCGUAGGCGGAUUAGUAAGUCAGUGGUGAAAGCCCAUCGCUUAACGGUGGAACUGCCAUUGAUACUGCUAGUCUUGAGUAUGGUUGAGGUGGGCGGAAUGUGUCAUGUAGCGGUGAAAUGCUUAGAUAUGACCCAGAACACCAAUUGCGAAGGCAGCUCGCUAAGCCAUAACUGACGCUGAUGCACGAAAGCGUGGGGGAGCAAACAGG